GGAGUUUGGGCCGUGUCUCAGUCCCAAUGUGGCCGUCCGCCCUCUCAGGUCGGCUACCGAUCGUCGCCUUGGUGGGCCGUUACCUCACCAACCAGCUAAUCGGACGCGAGCUCACCCCAAACCGAGUCUCCCCUUUUACCCCAAGACGAUGCCGCCUCGUGGUCUUAUGCGGUAUUAGCACCUGUUUCCAAGUGUUAUCCCCCUGUCUGGGACAGAUUGCUCACGCGUUACUCACCCGUCCGCCGCUAGAACAUGAUUCUUUCUGCCGAAGCUUAUUCCCUCAUGUCCCCGCUCGACUUGCAUGUGUUAAGCACGCCGCCAGCGUUCGUCCUCGAGCCACUGAUCAAACUCU
rnacentral:rRNA from 1 species